GCCUUGAACAGGGGGGUGGGACUGGAUAGCCUCAGAGGGACCCCCAACUUCAGCAUUCAAGGAUUUUAUGAGAGGUCUUGCACACUUUCGUGUACGCAGAAGAAAGCAAUGAGACCAAAACUGGUGUUGCAAGAUUCUGUCACAACGAUCCAACAUUUUAAUACAAAUCCAUUUUGAUCUUUUGUCUCCACCUUACAAAAAUGUAAUAAAUACAGGAGUGUUUUUGUUUUUAUU